rnacentral:rRNA from 1 species
AAGUUCGACGGGCCCCGCACAAGCAGCGGAGCGUGUGGUUUAAUUCGAUGCUACACGAAGAACCUUACCAGGGUUUGACAUACAAGUAGUAGGGAAGGAACUGGACGACCUUCGGGGAGCUUGUACAGGUGCUGCAUGGCUGUCGUCAGCUCGUGUCGUGAGAUGUUGGGUUAAGUCCCGCAACGAGCGCAACCCUUAUCAUUAGUUGCUACGCAAGGGCACUCUAAUGAGACUGCCGGUGACAAACCGGAGGAAGGUGGGGAUGACGUCAAGUCCUCAUGGCCCUUAUGGGUAGGGCUUCACACGUCAUACAAUGGUCGGUACAGAGGGUUGCCAAGCCGCGAGGCGGAGCCAAUCCCACAAAGCCGAUCGUAGUCCGGAUUGUUCUCUGCAACUCGACUGCAUGAAGUCGGAAUCGCUAGUAAUCGCAGGUCAGCAUACUGCGGUGAAUACGUUCCCGGGUCUU